GUCGAGCUUGGUCUUCCUUACUGUGUGCUAUGGACUAAUGCUGAAGGGAAGCUACAAGAAACAUCAGCUCUAUGGAGUCCUUCACCAUGUAAACUCUUAAGGGUUACUGAAAAUUAAGUACCACUCACAUGUUAAAGGGUAAUCCUUGGGGCUAGGGAUUUAGCUCAGUGGUUCUGCCAAGGUCCCAAGUUCAAUCCCCAGUACCAAAAAAAAAAAAAAAAAAAAAGUAAUCCUUUGUUAAGUUGCUGUCUUUAAUUUCACAUUUACUUUCCACAUUAGCAGCGUAAGUACAUUUAAGAGUGAACCAAAAAAAUCCAAGAAUGAGUCCCUGUAACCAAAGAUGGACAGCCUGACCCUGAGAGCUAGGUGAGCCACUGUACUGAGAAAUGUUUCUGCCAGUCCUGGUGGCGCAUGCCCAUAAUCUUAGCACUUGGGAGGCUGAAGCAGGAGGAUCAGUGUAAGUUCAAGGUCAGGCUGAGCUAAGUAGUGAAACCCUGUCUCAAAAAACAACCAUUUCUCACCUGGUAGUAAGGAGAGGUAAAUGCAAGUGCUUUGUAUCUCACCUAUCUACCUGUUGUAAGCACCAUUGUACACAGGAAGCUGGAGGAAAGCCUAUUUGCUUCUAAGUUAUCUGACUGCUUCAUUUGUAUAACAUGCAAUCUCUUGACCAAGCCUACUUUUAAACUCCAAUAUAACAUCAUUUUGUAUAUAUUCCCAGCUUACAGAACUCAUACUGCUUAUCUCAGUGAGAGGUUGUUUUCAUGGAAAGAUUAAUAGCAUUAAUUAGCUAAUAUUUUGCACUUUUGAAAUGUUUGUUUACAUAAUUAUAUUUAAAACUUUGAUAAAUAUUGAAAUAAAAUUGUACUAAUUAGUUGCCUACUCUUACCUGGCCUCAUCUAUCAUAGACCCAAUACAGUAACUAUUUUCUCUUCCCCUAUAUAUUACCAAAAUAAGUUCAGGAAAUAAAAUUUUGGUCAAAGAACUAUUAGUUUUUCCCCCUUUACUAGUGUUCUUAUUGCCAUAGGCAGGUGUAGUUCAGAAUCUGAAGCACGGCAGUAUUAAGGCAAGCAUGGGUGGUCCUUUGGCAUGUGUAGACAUCAGCCAGCAGUCUAGGUGACCGAGGUCCCAUCACAGUAGACGGGCAGGCUGGUUUUUCUAUCCAGUCCCUGAAUGGUUUCCUAAGGACAAAACACAUUUCAUCAUAUUAUUUGACUAUCAGGCUUAC
rnacentral:lncRNA from 1 species